rnacentral:rRNA from 1 species
AGUGAACGCUGGCGGUAGGCCUAACACAUGCAAGUCGAACGGCAGCACAGGAGAGCUUGCUCUCUGGGUGGCGAGUGGCGGACGGGUGAGGAAUACAUCGGAAUCUACUUUUUCGUGGGGGAUAACGUAGGGGAACUUACGCUAAUACCGCAUACGACCUACGGGUGAAAGCAGGGGACCUUCGGGCCUUGCGCGAUUGAAUGAGCCGAUGUCGGAUUAGCUAGUUGGCGGGGUAAAGGCCCACCAAGGCGACGAUCCGUAGCUGGUCUGAGAGGAUGAUCAGCCACACGGGAGCUGAGACACGGUCCAGACUCCUACGGGAGGCAGCAGUGGGGAAUAUUGGACAAUGGGCGCAAGCCUGAUCCAGCCAUACCGCGUGGGUGAAGAAGGCCUUCGGGUUGUUAAGCCCUUUUGUUGGGAAAGAAAUCCAGCUGGCUAAUACCCGGUUGGGAUGACGGUACCCAAAGAAUAAGCACCGGCUAACUUCGUGCCAGCAGCCGCCGUAA